rnacentral:rRNA from 1 species
UUGGGACUGAGACACGGCCCAAACUCCUACGGGAGGCAGCAGUGGGGAAUGUUGCACAAUGGGGGAAACCCUGAUGCAGCGACGCCGCGUGAGUGAAGAAGUAUUUCGGUAUGUAAAGCUCUAUCAGCAGGGAAGAAAGUGACGGUACCUGAAUAAGAAGCCCCGGCUAACUACGUGCCAGCAGCCGCGGUAAUACGUAGGGGGCAAGCGUUAUCCGGAUUUACUGGGUGUAAAGGGAGCGUAGACGGCAAGGCAAGUCUGAAGUGAAAGCCCGGUGCUUAACGCCGGGACUGCUUUGGAAACUGUUUAGCUGGAGUGCCGGAGAGGUAAGCGGAAUUCCUAGUGUAGCGGUGAAAUGCGUAGAUAUUAGGAAGAACACCAGUGGCGAAGGCGGAUUACUGGACGGUAACUGACGGUGAGGCGCGAAAGCGUGGGGAGCGAACAGGAUUAGAUACCCUGGUAGUCCACGCUGUAAACGAUGGAUACUAGGUGUGCGGG